rnacentral:rRNA from 1 species
CUCUGAUGCAGCAACGCGCGUGAAGGAUGAAGGUCUUCGGAUUGUAAACUCUUUAGCCAGGGACGAUAAAUGACGGUACCUGGAAAAUAAGCCACGGCUAACUACGUGCCAGCAGCCGCGGUAAUACGUAGGUGGCAAGCGUUGUCCGGAAUUACUGGGUGUAAAGGGCGUGUAGGCGGGAAGGUAAGUCAGAUGUGAAAUUCCGGGGCUCAACCCCGGCACUGCAUCUGAAACUAUUUUUCUUGAGUGCUGGAGAGGAAAGCGGAAUUCCUAGUGUAGCGGUGAAAUGCGUAGAUAUUAGGAGGAACACCAGUGGCGAAGGCGGCUUUCUGGACAGUAACUGACGCUGAGGCGCGAAAGCGUGGGGAGCAAACAGGAUUAGAUACCCUGGUAGUCCACGCUGUAAACGAUGGAUACUAGGUGUAGGAGGUAUCGACCCCUUCUGUGCCGCAGUUAACACAAUAAGUAUCCCACCUGGGGAGUACGGCCGCAAGGUUG